GACGAACGCUGGCGGCGUGCUUAACACAUGCAAGUCGAACGGAAAGGCCCUGCUUUUGUGGGGUGCUCGAGUGGCGAACGGGUGAGUAACACGUGAGUAACCUGCCCUUGACUUUGGGAUAACUUCAGGAAACUGGGGCUAAUACCGGAUAGGAGCUCCUGCUGCAUGGUGGGGGUUGGAAAGUUUCGGCGGUUGGGGAUGGACUCGCGGCUUAUCAGCUUGUUGGUGGGGUAGUGGCUUACCAAGGCUUUGACGGGUAGCCGGCCUGAGAGGGUGACCGGCCACAUUGGGACUGAGAUACGGCCCAGACUCAUACGGGAGGAAGCAGUGGGGAAUAGUGCACAAUGGGCGGAAGCCUGAUGCAGGAACGCCGCGUGCGGGAUGACGGCCUUCGGGUUGUAACCCGCUUUCGCCUGUGACGAAGCGUGAGUGACGGUAAUGGGUAAAGAAGCACCGGCUAACUACGUG
rnacentral:rRNA from 1 species